AAGUUCUAAGUUAUGUUUAUUUGGGGGUGGGAGGGGGAUGUUUCAGAGACUAUAAAAAUGUAGGCGUCUUUUAGGAAAGGAUAAACAAGUCAGUCCUGAGGCAGGCACCCAGGUCAUGGUCAGAUAAGGUUAAAGAAGAGAUGACAGGGUGAUGUGGACUCCAGAGUAUCUGGGUUUGACCCUGCCUCUUACCAGCCACAUGACCUAGAAAGUCCGGCCCAGAACUUCUUCCAAAGUACUGUAGCAUGAGGGUUUUCUGUCCUGACGUGGGUGCUAGGAGCAGGAGGGCGGGGGCGGGGGCGGGGGAGUUGUCCCUCCAGGGUGCCAGCCCCAGCCCUCCUUCUGCUACGCCAAAGAGGCGAGGACAAAGGCCAGGGAGCUUUGGCUGCAAAAGUCAGAUGCAUCAGGGCUGCAGUGUUGUGAUAGAACCAACAAAUUAAAGGUCUUUCCCACUACAGAAAUCUGUGCCAUUUGAUAGAAAAAUAACAGUUUUCUAUUUUACAUAUUGGAACAGAAAAUAACUUGUGGCCAAGACCUCCAUAAUUUUCCUUGUGCUGUUAUUUUUCUCGUGUGGGCUCUUAUUGUGGUGAUGCGCUAACUGGCUGUUUGUCACUAGUUCUCUUCUUGUCCUCUUCCCUCCGUUGCCUGGCAUCUGAGUUUGUUUUUCAUUUCCAUCAGUGGCACACAAUUUCAAGCAGAUGUUUUAAAAAGUGCUUGACUUUUAAGCCGGGUAUGCCGUGCUCUCUUGAUGGUGCCGUACUCAGCCCCAGAUCUGGUUUGCAAAUGAAGAUGCUGGUGCGCUAGUUGGCUUGAUUUUGGACUGAUUUCCACGGGGUUGUUAUUGCUUGAACAUACCCUGGAAGCCUGUCAGCAUUUUGAACCUGCCCACGCUAUUUUUGGGGGCGGGGGGGGAGACACAGGCCCAGCACAGACUGUAGGGCUGAGAAGCACACGCUUUAGAGCAGGGCGACCUGUGUUUGAACCCUGCCUUCACUGCAUGCUGGCUGUGUGAUCACAGACGCUUGCAAGUUUCUUGUCUGUAAAAUGGGGGUAAGAAUGGACCAGCACCUCAUGGGCUGACAAGCGAUAAAGUGUGUAAACCAUUUCGGUUCAGUGACUAACAUGGAGUAAGCACUCAGUGCAUCCCAAAAGAGUGGUAUUAUUUCUGUCUAGAUUUUAAAAAUCCUUACAAGAGUCCUACGGGGUAGGUUGCUAUUAAUAUUAUCAUCACUGGUUGUGGAUAAAAAAGCUGAGGCACAGAGUGGUUAAGUAACUUGCCCAAGGUGGCACAGCCAGUAAGUGGCAGAGCAGUCUGGCUCCAGGGUCUCUCUGGGUCGCUGUUUGGUGCUCAGUGGGGCUGGAUGGUACAUAACAAGCAGUGCAUACUCUAUUUCAGGCACCAGGAGUAAGCACUUCACAGCACAGGAUUUUAUUUAACUCCCUAACCUAACUCCCUUGCUACGUUCUGGGGGAUGCUAUGACUAGCUUUGUGAUAGAGAUGAGGGAAAUCAGAGGGUCAAAUGAGGUCAGGGAGGACUAUGCUGCUGAGAGAGGCUGGCCCCCCAGUCUCUUUCUCUGCACGCCGCUGGGCAUGGGUCCUUCAGAGCUGGACGGACCUGAGCGGUCAUCUCAUAUAAAUGUCCCCAGGAUGCCAAGGGGGCUCCUGGAGACCCAUGGGUUGGAGCCCACAUGCCCUGACUCCAGCCCAUUGUUUUAUGUUUUUGUUCAUGGUAUUAUGAUAACAAUAUCAAUGGCCACUGUAAGUAAUUCAAUAUAAUUCAUGUUUUCUUUUCCUCCGGCCACAAGUCUUCUAAUAAUAAAAAGUUUCUAAAAUGAAUAAGUAUUAAAAACCUAAUUUGCACAAGCACGAGGAAGUCCAGAAGGCCAAGUAAACAAGAAAUCUGGGCACUUUUCUUUAGAAAAUAGAAGUAGUAGGGGAAAAAAAAGGCUAAAAAGUGCUAAAAGUAGAUGUGAGAAAGGAAUACUGCAAAAUUCCUUCAUGUUAUCCGUAUUCUGGAAAAUUACUGUCCACAGUUACAUAUUAGAAGAUAAUUCUGGUUAUAGUUCUGCCAGGAAAAAGGUGGGUUUUUUUUUCUGAAUUAGGUAUUCUUUUUGCUAAUUCUGCCCACUAUAUACGUACCAUAAAUAAAUUUUAGUGCUGUGGAAAAGUACAGGCAUGCUCUGUGAGUUGAUUCUAACUGAUUUUACAUUUGAACCUUGCAUCUGGGGAUACAGUAAAACUAUGCCAUAAUUCAUCAUCAGUAACAAGACAGUCAUUAAAAUGUCGCUUUCCAUGAUACCUCGUACACAGCUGUUUAUUACUAAGAGUCUCAUUUUUAAAUGCUUUAACCUAUUACAAGUUUCCUUGUUACCAGCCAAAAGGAAAGGCAGCCCGGCAGAGUCUCUCUAAAUGUCCUAAAGACAGCCUCUCUCCUCUCCAGAGCACACUUCCAAAUCCCAAGAAACACACAGCAUUAGUUUUUGCCAAGUACGUUAUGGAGGACCUAUUUUCCAUUAAGUUAAGCCAGUUAGUCUUAUACACUUUCCCUUUUUUAGAACCUCUGCUUUUGUUUGAUACACAUUUGGAAAUUUUAUUGAUUUCCCAAGAAGCUAAGUUCUGCACAAUUUAGCAGAACCAGGAAAGGUACCGACUGAGUUUCCCACCGAUUUUCAAAUGGGAUCAUUUUCUUUCAAACACUCACUGGAUUUCGGUUGGAAUGAGACAGGUGGUUUUAGGCUCAAAGCUAUUCAAGGCUGACAGAAUAAUAAAGCAAGGCCAGCAGACUUUCUCACAGACACCCUGUGCAAGUGCUGGCAGAACCCUGCAGGCUCUGCCCUCUACCUCUGCAGAGACAGGUGACAGGUGAUCCCCACACUGACUUCAGAUGAACCUGGCACCUCCGGGCUCCUGGGGACCCAGGGUGACUGAUACAGGCCCACCUGCCUCCCUAGAAUGUUUUGGUUUGGAACGCAUCUGAGUCCAUUCACCUGUGCCGACCAAGGGCCACGACUGGGAUGGACAAGGUGCCAGGGUGCGGGCAGGUGGGAUGGGUCCAGGCAUUCUCUCGGUCUUGCCCAUUCAGCUCAGUUCAGCAGAAACACACUGAGUCCCUGCCAGGCUGCCAUAGAGCACACAAAAGACUGUUUGUCACGGAGGCUUGCAAUCUCCCUCUCACGCACAGCACUUUGGUAACACGAAAUUCGUCUCCCUCGUCUCAUCCAAGCACUAAGUCUCUGAUAACUUAGAGCUGGGCGGAAGACCAAAUAAAUACACAUCUCGGCACAUCUGGGGACCCAGCUGUAUUUAAGUCCAAAUAAUGCCAGAGAGGGUUCUUGUAGGAGAACAGAGUUGGGAAAUCAUUAUUAUCCUGUGCGAUAACAUGAGCUGACAUGUGUUGAAAAAGACAGUGUGCUAAGUACUUUACAUGCAUUAUCUCAAUUAAUCCCUAAAACAUCUCUAGAGGGAAAUACCACUUUUAAUACAAUUUUUACAGAAAAUGAGGCAUAGAAGUAACUGUCGACAGUCAUUUAGCUGAUAAGUGAUGGAUUUGAAACCCAAACCCGGGUUGGAUUAACUCCAGAGUCUAAGAAUGUAACCAUUUUUGCUAAUCUGCAUUUAUCAUUUAAUCUUGUCUAUUAACAUGUGGGAAAUGAGGAGCAUACACGUGUUCUCCUCAUCUGAACAUGUCUUUUUUUAACUUCACAUCAAAAUGCAUGCACCGUCAGUUUCUACCAAUUACCAAAUGCACAAAUCAGAAACACAGCUCAGCCCAGUGUCAUGAGCCAUGGUUAUUCUCGUUAGAGAAAAACCCACUCAAAUAUAUUGCACUCGGUGUGGAGUGACAGAACUGUCAUAAAGGUAAUCAUGUAAAAAACAAAAUCUGCCAUUAUCCAGUUCCUGAAUUUCUGAGUUGUUUUCUGUACCAGCUAGUGAUGAACACCCUUCCUCUAUUCAUCAUUCCCAGUUUUAUACUCUUGGGACUAGGAUAUCAUCACUAUCAAACCAGAGAUGUAAAUGACUAGGAAACAUUUAGUUUUAGGCUUAGAGUCCUAGUAAAUCAAAAGAGCAAGAUGGAAAAUAAACUAUAAAGUUACGAUGUCAGCUGGAGACUUUUUAUAGCUGGGCCUUGACAGUGGUUUGCAAGUUUUAGUAUUGCAGAUGGUGGAAAGCAAUCUGCCCAGGAGAACCGAAGUCUCCAAGCGCACACAGACCAAAGAUAAUUACAAGAUCCUUGAACUGAAAGUCACCUCUAUUGCAAUCCCUGCUUUCAGGACCAUUUAGUUGUUUAUAUGAGCAGAGAAGGCAAAGCCUUUAACAAUACCUGCAUGGGUAAUUUACUUGAGAAGUCAGAGGACUCAACCCCACCCAGUCUUUCCUCUUAACACCCUAACACACACACACACACACACACACACACACACACACACACACACAAUUUGGCCAGAGAAUUCUAGGCUUCUACAGAAAUUACAUCUUAACUGAGUCACUGAAUUAAUUCAGUUAAUUAAUUAACUGAAUUAAUAUAAUUCAGUUAUAAUGUAACUGAAUUAUAUUAAUUAAAACAAUCUUCACUCUUUAAAGUUGAAUUUUGCUAUAACUUUUUUCAUGGAAACUUUACUAAUCCUCUAAAAACUGGGAACAGAGAUUCUUAAUCUGGGGUUCGUGGAUAUGCUUCCCUGAAACAAGAAACAAGAUGAAGUAUUUACUCAGUGGAGUUGCAUGUGCAAUAUACUGCGGAGAAAGUUCAUAGCUUUCAUCAGCUUCUCAAAGGAACCUGAGACCCCUUAAAGCCUCAAAACUACUGUCCUAGAUACUGGUCCUCUAGUGUAGCUGAAGGACAUGAGAGUUAAAAAAGAUCCUAUUUCACUCUUACUCAGCACUUUCUAGAACUUCAUGCUGACAGGAGGUUCUAGCCCAGCAGUUGCUUCUUUUUUAUAAAAACCAAAACAAUUGUUGGAGGUGUCAGCGUCAAGGACAGGUUUUAGCAGGAGAAGGUAACAGUAUCUCUGAGUCCCCUUCCCAGGAGCCACUGCUGGCCACCCUACAGUCCCCAUCAGCACACUGCAUGGCGCAGGCAUGUGCACAGAGCUGGGUUUCAAUGCAUGGGGUUCAAUCCUCGAUCUGUUACUUUCUAUUGGUUGCAUGACCUUGGUCAAAUAAAUGCUUCCCUAUCCUAUUUUUUUCAUCUAUAAAAUGGGGGAAAUAAUAAUAUCCUCUCAAGAAUUAUAUAAGGAUUAAAUGAGAUAAUGUGGAAGUAGUGCAUGACACACAGUCACCUAUCUGAAACCCUUGGAAACAGAUGUGUUUUGGAAUUCACGUUUUUAAGAAAUGUAAUAUAUUGCUGUCCUCUACAUUAUUUAAUACCACCAGCAUAACCCAUAAUAAAUGGAUAUUUCUACAGCAGAACUAUGAAUAUUCACAUUAAGAGGGAUGAACCAAGAUUACAGACAGCCUCAUGUCAAUUCAGGACAGGUUCUGCCACCCCAAAAUGUCAGUUUUCAGAGCAUUUUGGAUUUGGGGAUUGAGAACAAGCAACUGUCAGCCUGCUUGGAAGAAUCCUACUUUCUUCAGUUCCCAAGGCCCUAAUUCUCGUCAUUGCUGAGUCACCAACCUUGGCUUGUCCUCAUACUUCUAUUCUCUGUGCAUUGGCACCGGGCCUGUGGCUGAGGUGGUACCCAGUGUAUUUCUCUUACCAUAAUGCUCAUUUGAACCGUGUUCCGCUUGACCCGUGGCUCCCCUCUCCUACUAUGGUUCUGAGUGAAGAAGACUCCUCUCUUCUCUUGGCUUUGUCUCAACCUCUCCCAGUUCCCGAGGCAAUCUCUCUCCCACAGCUCCCCUGUUCCAAGGGCUGUCCGCCUCCUGUUCAAUAUAUUCUCAGAAACUCUCAAAGUUCCUCCCUGUGACGUUGGCAGGUACGCUGGUGAGAAGAACACUCUUCUCCUGGAGACAGACGAGACAUUCCUCGGUUUCAUUCAGAGUGUCCCAAGAGAAAGAAGAUGGACUCCAACAUCAACAGAACAGCCGAGGGGGACACUUCUAGGGGCUCAGUGACAGUCAGUGGCAGGUAGGAGCUGCCGGAGGCUACCGUCAUGAUACUACCUGGCCGUGGGAUCACACGGUUUAGUAUUGGUGGUGCAAAGGGGACGAUCAGACAUAUGGGGGUUUGAUUUCUCCUUGUUUCACAUGCUGUGUGACCUUGGGUAAGUUACUCUAAAUUCUCUGAGCCUCAGCUAUAAAAUGGGGAUAACAUUACCCACUUGACUAGGGCUGUAAUUAGGAGUAUGUCAGCUAACCUAUAUAAAUGCCCCAAUAACUAUCCAGUCCCUUCCUUAAGUGCCCUUCCCUAGACUUUCCCUCACUAGACUGGGAGACCCCUGAAGGGCAGGAACAGAUCUUCUCCUUGUAUUUAUUUCUAGCGUAGGUUCUGGCCCAUAGCAAGCAAGCCUGUAAUAAGGUAGUGAAUAAAUGAAUGCAAUUGUUUUUGCAGUUGGUAGCACACCUUUAGUUCCUGCUAAAUCAGAUAUCCACAAUUUGAGAAGAGGAAACUAGGGUGAGGAUGCCUGAGCCAGAGCUUCCUGGUCCAAAUAACCAUGUUUCCCUCUGAUGUGGAUAACAGAGGUAGACUGCACAAGUUCUUCCACUCAAUAAUAAUGUUUUCUUUUUAAAAUGGAACUUUAAAUUUUAUAGACAGAGUAUUACAUCCUAGUAACUAGAAUGAAAACUCCUUCUUCUACUCAACUGUCUCAUUUAAUUCUUAUUACAACUUAUUUGGUAGGUAACAUUGUUGUUUCCAUCUUAUAGCUACAGAAACAGAGAUCUGUGUUCACAACUGAUGCUUAUCAUUCGUAUUAAUAUAAUCCUAACCAGUGUAUUCUUCCUUUUUCUUCCAGGUUUAUUGAGCUAUAAUUGACAUACAGCACUGUGUAAGUUUAAGGUGUACAGCAUAAUGAUUUGAUUUACAUAUCAUGAAAUGAUUACCACAAUAAGUUUAGUGAAUACCAUCUCACAUAGAUAUAAAAUUAAAGAAAUAGAAAAAGUUUUUUUCCUUGCGAUGAGAACUCUUAGGAUUUACUCUCAACUUUCACAUAUAACACACAGCAAUGUUAAUUGUAUUUAUCAUGUUGUACAUUAAAUUAUAUCCCUAGUACUGAUUCAUCCUAUAAUUGGAAGUUUGUACCUUUUGACUACCUUCAUCCAAUUUCCCCUCCCUCCAAAGUGUUGCAUUUUUAAAAGAUGUCUCAAUUUAGAGUAAGACUUGAAGAUCUACUACAUCUCAAUACCUCUUUCACUAAUCCUCAACUAUUAUUAAUUAAACUAAUUAAUUAUUAAUUUCACUAAUCCUCAACUAUUAUUAAUUAAUUUAAUUCUAGCAUUCUCUUGGGUUCAAGCAGAUGACAAUGACCAAACUAAUUCUAAAAUAUUUUGUAGACCCCAAGAUUCAUUUAGGGCUUUCACUGGUUUUGGAAAUUAAGACACCUUGGAUUUAAAAGCUUAUUCAAGCAGCUUUGCAUACAGUUAUUCUGUUUUCUUGGACUAGAGAAGAAACUAAAUGAUUCCAAUUUAUCAAUAUAGAAAUCAAUGAUGCUGUUUUUGCAGCAUUUUUAAUUAGCCUCAGUUCCUUAUCUGUGAAGGGGACACUAACAGUAUUUGCCAUGCUUAUGCGAGACACCCGUGGAAACACCAGGGCUUUGCCAGCUGUGAAAAGCUGCAGCUGCUAGAUGUAACCCUAUUGCGAUAGACUGCCAAAGGUCCUUUCCAGUGCUAAUUUUCCAUAAUUCCAAGAUUCUGUAGUCCAGCAGUAAACAAGGUUUUUACUUACAAUCUACAUUUUUCUUUCUGUCUGAUCCUUAUUUUUGCUGUCUGAAAGAAACUUUGGGGAAAAAAAAUGCAGUGCGUGUGUGUGUUUCUUUUUUCUUAUAGUACAGUAGUUGCCCCCUUACCCAAGGUUACACUUUCUGAGGUUUCAGUUACCUCUGGUCAACUGCAGUCUGAAAAUGUGAAAUGGAAAACUCCAGAAAUAAACAAUUCUUAAAUUUUCAA